GAUGAACGCUAGCUACAGGCUUAACACAUGCAAGUCGAGGGGAAACGAUAUUGGAAGCUUGCUUCCGAUAGGCGUCGACCGGCGCACGGGUGAGUAACGCGUAUCCAACCUGCCCGUCACUUGGGAAUAACCUUGCGAAAGUAAGACUAAUGCCCAAUGACAUUUAUAGAAGGCAUCUGAAAUGAAUUAAAGAUUUAUCGGUGAUGGAUGGGGAUGCGUCUGAUUAGCUUGUUGGCGGGGUAACGGCCCACCAAGGCAACGAUCAGUAGGGGUUCUGAGAGGAAGGUCCCCCCACAUUGGAACUGAGACACGGUCCAAAACUCCUACGGGAGGCAGCAGUGAGGAAUAUUGGUCAAUGGGCGAGAGCCUGACCAGCCAAGUAGCGUGCAGGAAGACGGCCCUAUGGGUUGUAAACUGCUUUAUAAGGGAUAAAGUGAGCCUCGUGAGGCUUUUUGCAUGUACCUUAUGAAUAAGGACCGGCUAAUUCCGUGCCAGCAGCCGACGG
rnacentral:rRNA from 1 species